rnacentral:rRNA from 1 species
UCGGGAGGAUGCAAUCGUUAUCCGGAAUGAUUGGGCGUAAAGCGUCCGCAGGUGGUGGUGUGUGUCUAUUGUCAAAGCGUCAUGCUUAACAUGAUAUAGGCAGUAGAAACUAAACAGCUAGAGUGCGUUCGGGGCAGAGGGAAUUCCUGGUGUAGCGGUGAAAGGCGUAGAGAUCAGGAAGAACACCGGUGGCGAAGGCGCUCUGCUAGACCGCAACUGACACUGAGGGACGAAAGCUAGGGGAGCGAAUGGG